rnacentral:tRNA from 1 species
GGGGAUGUAGCUCAGUGGUAGAGUGCAUGCUUAGAAGUACACAGGAGGUUUUGGGUUCAAUCCCCAGUACUUCCA